rnacentral:rRNA from 1 species
AUUGAACGCUGGCGUCAGGCCUAACACAUGCAAGUCGAACGAGUGGCGGACGGGUGAGUAAUGUCUGGGAAACUGCCUGAUGGAGGGGGAUAACUACUGGCAACGGUAGCUAAUACCGCAUACCAUCGGAUGUGCCCAGAUGGGAUGAGCUAGUAGGUGGGGUAACGGCUCACCUAGGCGACGAUCCCUAGCUGGUCUGAGAGGAUGACCAGCAACACUGGAGCUGAGACACGUGCCAUAAUCCUACGGGAGGCAGCGGUGGGAAGUAGUGCACAAUGGGCGGAAGCCUAAUGCAGCCAAGGCGCGUGUAUGAAGAAGGCCUUCGGGUUGUAAAGUACUUUCAGCGGGGAGGCGUUACCCGCAGAAGAAGCACCGGCUAACUCCGUGCCAGCAGCCGCGGUAAUUC